rnacentral:rRNA from 1 species
CACGUAGGAGGCGAGCGUUGUCCGGAAUUACUGGGUGUAAAGCGCGUGUAGGCGGUGAGUUAAGUCUGUUGUGAAAGCGCCCGGCUCAACCGGGCAGAGUCAAUGGAAACUAGCGCACUGGAGGUCGGUAGAGGCGAGUGGAAUUCCCGGUGUAGUGGUGAAAUGCGUAGAGAUCGGGAGGAACACCAGUGGCGAAGGCGGCUCGCUGGGCCGGACCUGACGCUGAGACGCGAAGGCGUGGGGAGCGAACGGG